GAUUAACCUAAACCUAGUCCCCGCAGAGAGAUGAAGGUCAGAAGCAGAGAUGUAGAGUAGCUGCUAGAGUAGCACUUCUUGCUGCUCUUCCUGAUGAUCUAAGAAGAGUUAUUGGUAGUGAAACUAGUAGGAGUGGACUAGUCAUGAUAUUUGAGAUGCUACAAUAUUCAACACUUAACAGGAGGCUGGUUAUUGUAUUGUUGGAAGGGGUCCUUAGCCAACUUUUUCCAUCCCAUCAAUUUAAGGAUAUGUUUGAGAAAUUACACUCCAGAUCUGGAAGGACCAGGGAUGACUUCAAGAAUUCUCAACGAUCAGCCUCAGAUCUCAGACAUAGAAGAGAAAAAUCCAAAUAAACAAUAAUAUAUUGACUUAAAAUUUAUAUCUAGUAUUAAUUUUAUAAGUGAUAUCUAGUAUGGAUUAUAGUUUUCUUGUAAACAAUAAGCUACUUGUGCAUUUUCAGUUUUUGUAAAUAAAACUCUUUUGAUAAAA